GGACCCAUUGAGAUCCGCCAUGGCAUUGCAGCUCGCCAUCCAGGCACUCGCCGCAAGCCUCUCCCCCGCUCCCAACAAACCAACCAAGCCGCCGAGCCCGAGCAAUGGCCAUCAGCAACCGCAGGAACCAAUCAUCACCAGCAGAAGCAGAAGGCUCGCGAUUGUCGGCACGGCGCUCAUGGCGUCCCAUCUGCUGCCGCCCGCGACGGGCAGCGCCGGCGCGUUCGACCUCCGGCUGACCGUGCCGGAGCAGUCGAGCGAGGAGGCCGAGGCCGUGGUGAGGACCGACGCGAGGAACCUGGUCCGCGUCAGGGACCUCAUCGACGCCCGGUCCUGGCGGGAGCUUCAGGCGUCGCUCCGGGCCAGCGCCGCCAACCUCAAGCAGGACCUGUACGCCAUCAUCAAUGCUAAGCCCGCGAGCCAGCGGCCCGAGCUCCGCAGGCUCUACUCCGACCUCUUCAACAGCGUCACCAGAGUAGGGAAACAUCGAUGCGCCUCCUCUGCUGGACUAUGCGGCCAGGGAUAAGGACGAACUCCAAGUAAAGGAAUACUACGGCAACAUGGUCGCUGCCAUUGACCAGAUUUUUGCCAAAAUCAUGUAGUUUUUGCACGCACUGUCUCAAUUCAGGUUAGAGGGAGAGAUUGGAUAAAAAACUAGACGUCUGGAUUACAUUCAAAUACAGGGAGAACCGAAGGCUUCUUUUUUCUUUUGCUACGUAGCUACUCCUUAUUAUUAGCUUCCUGUGCUAGAUCUUCUUCUAUUUACUCUACUCUCUGGAGGAGAAAUCCAAAAGAAUCAAUAUUUGCAGGUGCAGCAAGACCAGAAAAACUGCAGUUUCCUGAAACCAUCACUGCUCCACAACUCUUCAGCCACCAAUAUAUAUUUAGGCUUGUUGCGGUGCAAUGGAUGAGUUCAGGCACCUGUCAUUGGAGCAGAGUGGUUUCUCAGUCACCUCCCCUUUUGCUUCAAGAUAGAGAAAGAAGGUUCCUUGGUGAUCCUAUUCAUCCCAAUCUGGCGCUUAUACUGAAAUAGUUUUUUUUUCUCUUUUUCUUCAUUGAUUCGUCAGACUACCAAUGAAGUUUCAGUGUCUGCCUCAUCUGUGACCUGUUUGGCUGUGGUUCACCAUCCUCUUGGCUCCUCCUUGAAAUGCCUGUUUCCAAGAACUUGUGCCUAAGAGAGAAAGGUUACUUGGUACUAAACGGCACAAAUCAGUGACAGGACCUUGAAGAACCUACCAUUGUAAGACCAGGGAGCAUGUAGCUAGCCAGAUUUUCAUUCACUGAAAUUGGCAAUUGAGGCAUCUUACUCAUUAUUCCAGGCAUUUGGCUCAUGCUGUUUAUACAAGCAACAUCAUUAGAGGCAGGAUUGCUUUUCUUCAUAAGCAUAAAUAUAAUAUUCUACAACUGAAUUAUACAUGCAUCACAGGUGGAAUAUGCUUACGUUUGUAAAAGACCAUCGAUGUUACUUCUGAUGCGAUGGAAGAGGUCGAUGUUGUUUUGAGCCUGGAAGAAUAUAGUUGACAUGAAAUUCAUUCUUCAGACAAUAAUUCAGGAUGAAGGCUAACUGACAGUACAUGGAGCACCUGCAUUCUGUCGUGCGAGUAAUUGCACAUGGAAGGAAAAUAUACCAACCUGGAAUGUUACAAUAUUUGUUUCAAUCUGACUCAGAAGCCGAUUGUUUUCUUCCAGUAUAUGGUGCACUGCACGAUCUAUCUCAGAGGCUACAUGGUGGAAUAUAUGCACUUGGUCAUAUUAUAGACAAAUGGAUGGAAACAAAUGGAAAGGAAUAGCUGAAUCUUGUCAACUAUCAGGAUCCCCUAAUCUGUAAAUUAUAUUUGAAGAUCAAGAGGUAAUGAUUUGUGAUCAUUUGGUAAGUCUCAUCCUCGAAAAAUACCACAUAGUGGAUGCUCUAUAUGACCCAAUGUUUGGCCCAACAGAUUCUACAUGUCCACAGGUACUGAAAGUCCAGCGAAUGAAUUCUAAAAUGACAGCUUUCUCAACCAUCUAUGCAGAUACUAAAGCCCUGCCUUUUUCAAGUAAUUCCUUCCUAUCUGGGAUAAAUUUUGAAAUGGGGUCAAUAAAACACAGAGUCAGCUAAAUUAUCUACUGCACAUCUCUUGUUAAAAUUAAUGUUAACUUGUGAGGUAAAAGUAUUAAGACCACAUUCAAAAUGACACAGGAUAAUAGUAGGAAGUACUGAAAACAUAGUGGAAUGUAAGUUUAGUUAGAGAUUGGUUAGCUCAAAUGAAGUAAAUUUCAUUUCCUCUGCUUCUCCCUUCAAGACUUGUUUUUUCUUAGAUGUGCUCUUUUUUUCAGUUAAUUGCUUAUUGCAGUAGAAUACUCACCUACUAGAAUAAAUACAGUAGAUAGAUGGAUAUAUGGAAGCAAUCAACUCGUCCUGAUACAUUAUAAAAAAUGGUCUGAUAUUCAAGUGACCUACCAACCUUCAGAUGGAAAUAGACUAUUUUGAAUGUCACUAGACACAAAGGAAGAGACUCUUGUGUCCCUCUGAACAGGAUGACUUGUACCCCAUGAUGAAGGCUCUACCAUUUUCUCCUGAAAAAUAACCAUGAGUAACGCUGUCAAAAAUAUGUACAUAAAAGUAUGAUAUGCAUGGGAAUGAUAAAUUCUUAUCCAUAUUCACAUAAGUAUGCUUUUACCUACUCAAAAUUCUCAAAAAGUUUCUUUGAGAAAUACAUUUGUAAGGAACUGAUCAUAUACUUUCGGUGCCUUUCUUCUUAUUAUUAAAAAAGAUAUGUAGUUCCUCCUAGGUAUUCUUGUUUAAAUAAACACCUUCAUAACAAUUUGAACUGAAAUCUUUCGUAUUUUCUCUAUUAAUUGUGUGCAAAUGGUAAUUAAGGAUGUUAUAAGGAGAAGACUCUAAGGAGAAAGUUCAUCAAAUUGAAAGAAAGAUGUUAAUACCUUUCUAUCUUUCACUUUUCUGCCAAUAUGAUGUUCUGCAGGCUUCCGCCGUCUUGUAUUUUGUUUGGUCUACAAAGAUCAAAUCGUUAACAAUAUAAAUGUGAAAUAAAAGGAAAGCACUACGUCAGCUUGGAACAUGUCUUUUAAAAAGUAUAUACUGGACAUAAAAAUGCCUACCUUUUCCACAAAACUAUGUAUAACAUGUUGGUCCAUGGGAAAAAAAAUCCAGGUGAAAAAGGAAUUACAAUUUCAUUUUCAGUAGUACUGCUCAGGCAAGUAUUACCAAUUCAGCUGUUGUAGCUAAUAAAUAUAUUCAGCCAAAAAGGUGGAACACUGAUCAAAUAAUAUAUGCAUGCUUUAUUGUUCUGUGAUGGAACAAGAAGAUGCUUUCUUUGAUAUACCUUUCCUUUUAGGUAACACUAAUGCACAACAAUAAAAUAGCAUACCGAAUGGAUACACUGAUUGCCAACUCAUGUCCCACUAUGCAGUCCAAAAUGCACAGAUGAGUAUUUGUAUACACAUUGAGAAUAACUGCAUCUAUCGCGCAUACUAGUAUGUUCAUAUCAAUCCUGAGAUGCAACAAAUUUUAGCAUGUUCCCUAAAAAGAGCUGCUCUAGUAGAAAAAUAUGUCAAUUUCUUGUUGUACUGUUGUACAAGGAAAUCGUCAAUAUAUUUGUGUGGAUACCUUCCUUAAUGUUUACAUCUUUUCAGUGCUUAGAUCUAAAUAAGCAGAUUUCCCUUCUUGGGCAUGACUAUUUACUGAUGUAGCACACCUCAAACAGAUCAUCCUUGUAGUCACACACACAGAAAAAAAAAUAUAGUAUGUCCAACAUAGAGAUUACUUACCCCUAUCCAUUGGCAUCUCAUCGCGACAUCUCUCACUGUCUUGGUUGGUAUUGCAGCUGCUAUCUUUAUAUACUUCAUGAUGCCUUGUUCAUUCACAUACCUGAGAGUAUUGGCACACCAAAUCAGGUAAACCAAGGAUGUACAUGAGGGGUGAACCAAUGAAUGCAAACUUCAACAGAAAACGAGAAGGAAAACUUUAUGCUAGCUUCAACCAACAGGAUAACAAGACCUCCAUUUAAACAGUUACGGUAUAAAGCUCAACAACGGAGAACACCACAAGUUGUAUAUUAAUUUGCAUAUGACAACAUUCAUGCAAGUGGGGGGAAUAGCUUACUUGUCCAGGCAAUCUUUCAGCACUUCGAGCUCAAGGUACGACCAAUCCGCGGCCAAGGGUCCUCCGUAUUUCAGGCUCGGUGCGGAAUCAGCAGCCAUGCUUGAUGAGCUGGUGGAAACAGCCACAGACGGCGUGGUGCUGCUCAUCAUCGCCAUAGUGCUGUCCAUGCCGCUGGAACAGUCCAGAACGGCUGCGAAAAUGCCCUGAAGUUUUGGUUAGGAUCAUCUGCCAUCUGCAUGCCCAGCAAAUCCUCCAGGACGGAAUUUGGUACUUCCAGCCUUGAAGUGUUCACUCCAAUGUAUAGAACAACUUCAGAGUACCGGUAGCAGAUCAGUGCUUCGUGUUAUACUUUGUUACAGGUCAUGCUGCAUUUUCACACAA